CAUAAUCUUCAUGGUUUGCGUUUUGUGGUCAAGGCGACACAUCAGGCAGAAAUUUUGUAUCCCGGAAGAUCCAGAAGAAAUGGGAUAUAGACGCAACUGGUUGUCGGCGCCGCCCUACACGCCGGAGACCAUGUUCGUCUAUGAAAACAAAGGUACGGUGUUCGACAGUGGCGAAAGAUACGGCGUUAGUGAGGCAGAAGCCAAAGAAAAACACAGAGAGCCCAGUGCACAGCUCAGCGACUAUAAUAACUCCAACGGUGUUGAUUGCAACACAUUUGAUGAUGGUCAUUCGUCUGCAACACUUGUUAAGUCGCCACAAAGAACAACAACAUUGUGAAUGGAAGAUGAAAAAACAACUCAGACGCAUCUCUGAAUAUGCAUCAGAGAUAAUGAAUAUAGUAAGAAGAAAAUUCCAAGUGUAAUUUAUCAAGUGAUCCUGUUUUGAGGAUUCAAAGUGCAAGACUGUAAACUGUAAAUAUCAAAAUGGAAACUUCAUCCUUGCACAGCUGACUGCUGCUGCUGCUGCUGCUACUGCUACUACUGCUACUACUACUACUACUACUACUACUACUACAUAAAAUAGCCUUCACUAAAACCAGGCAAAAAAAAAACUAAUGGGUGUCUGGAUUGGCAGAAUUGUUAGAGCAUUGUACAAAAUGCCUUGUGGUAUACAUUCUGAGUUCAAUUCCUGCUAGGGUCAAUUUUUGCCUUUCUUCCCUCCACAGUCAAUAAAAUAAAGUACCUGUAAAGCACUCAAAUCAAUGGUAUCAAUUAACACCCAGCCUCUCAAAACAGCUGACCUGGUACCAAAAUUAGAAAGAAUUAUAUUUAUUAUUAUUAUUAUUAUUAUUAUUAUCAUUAUUAUUAUUAUUAUUAUUAUUAAGGCAGUGAGUUUGCAGAAUUGUUAGCAUGUUGAAUGAAAUGCUUAGCAGUAUUUUGCUCAUCACUAUGUUCUGAGUUCAAAUUCUGCUGAGUUGGCUUUGCCUUUCAUCAUUUUGGGGUUGAUAAAAUAAGUACCAGUCAAGCACUGGGGUUGACAUAAUCAACUAUCCCCUCUCCCAGAUUUCAGGCCUUGUGCCUAUAGUAAUAAGGAUUAUUAUUAUUAUUAUUAUUAUUAUUGUUAUUAUUAUUAUUAUUAUUAUAAAGGCAGCAAAAGGAUAGAAUUGGUCAGCAUCAGAUAAGAUGCUUAUUGGCAUAUCUUCUAGCCUUACAUUCUGUGUUCAAUUUCUACCAAGGCCAACUUUGCUUUUCACCCUCUUGGGAGUCAGUAAAAUAAGUACCAGCUGAGCAUUGAGAUAGAUAUAAUUGACUUAACCCCAACCCCAAAAUUGCUGGCCUGGUGCCAAAAUUUGAAACCAUUAUUAAUUAAGGUGAUAAGCUGAUAGAAUCAUUAGCACACUGGACAAAAUGCCACUAGGGACUUUGUCCAUCUUUACAUUCUGAGUUCAAAUUCCACCAAGGUCAACUUUGUCUUUGAUAAAUUAAGUACCAGUGAAACACUGGGGUCGAUGUAAUCGACUAACCCCUUCCACCCAAAUUUCAGGCUUUGUGCCUAUAGUAGAAAGGAUUAUUAUUAUUAUUGUUAAUACUGCGUCACCCUUUAUAGAGCGGGAGGCUAAACUCAAGGAGAGCAGAAACUGCAACUAGAUUUCAAAUCUCUCUCUGGAUAUUGUUAAUACAUUUGGGAAAGAUUUGAACCUUCCACUCUCUCUUCUCCCCAACAAACAUCAGGUCUUCAUGUUUAAUGUCAAGUGGUCACAAGACCAUGAGCAUUGGUCUAGUUUAGCACUAGACCAAUGCUCAUUGAAUAGUCUUAUGGUUAUACAUAUUUUUUUCUUGGCACAAUGUACCUAAGACCACAUUCUCCAAUGUACAUUUUAUUUAAAUGAUAAGCUGUGAUUUGAAGGAAAUUUAGUUGCUAUCUCUUGCUGGCCAAGUGACUGCAUAGAGACUUCCUCAUUAGCUUUUAAUGCCAAAGAUAUUUCUCGUCACAAUGACAAUCAAGACCAUUUUUGCAGAAGAUACUGACAGAAGGCCUAGUUGAGGACCAGUUGUUUGUUGUUUUUCUUUUUCUUUUCAUUGUGAUACCUUUAUAGAUGUGAUAGCUUUAUUAAACCAGUCUCUGGAGUACUAUUGGCAUUUCUGUUUAUCAAUGAUUUUACCCAAGAGAUAGAUGGUAAAUUUGAUGACUGUCAUCUCUUUCAGAUGAUAUUAAGUGAUAUUAGGACACGAAACUUUGCAUGCUUACAUGUAUAGCUCUCUACUUCCACAAUCCCUCCCUCCUCCUCCUCUUUCCAAACAACAGAGUAGACCAACAUAGGUACAACACAUUCAGAUGAACAGAAGCUGUUGUGGCAGAGGUAGGAGAGGAAACACAGAAGGAGAGAGAAAGAGAGAAGACACAGCUUGUUAGUUAAAUUGAUGUACAAUGUUAGUAAGUGAAGGUAGUCCCAGAUCAAUCCUGAUCAAGAAAAAAAGACCACCUAACAAAGGAUGGUCCUGAUUGGAAUGUCUGUCUCUUUAGGGUAUCUAGGAACAUUAUCCUAAGAUGUGCUCUUCCUCCUCUCAAGAUGUUAAGGUGGGAUUUGAGUGGAGACUUGGUUGCUAUUUCUAGCAUGUUGAGCGACCAUGUAUAGGUGUCCUCAAUGGGCCAUUACAAUUGGUUUUGUUGUUGUUUAACCUCAGGCCAGCUCUGAUCAAGCAGACUUAUGGUCAAAACCAUUUCAGCUGUGAUAAAUCUGUCUCUUAAUGGGCAUCUGCUCUAUUUUAGAGAAGCAAAGAUAUUUUUGAAAAAUUAAUAAUAAUAAUCUUUUCUACUCUAGUCACAAGGCCCAAAAUUUUGGAGGAUGGGGGCCAGUUGAUUAGAUCGACCCCAGUACACAACUGGUACUUAACUUAACAACCCCGAAAGAAUUAAAGGCCUUGACAAAAUUUGAAUUCAGAAUGUAAAGACAGAUGAAAUACCACUAAGCAUUUCGUCCAGCAUGCAAACGUUUCUGCCAGCUUAUCACUAAGAUAAUAGUGGUCAAUGCAGAGAGUAGACGUGACACCAAUAGUAACUGGUGCACUUGAAAGUAUCAGCACUCAACUACCAGCAUGGCUGAAAAAAAUCGGUGCAAAUGUGAAGGUAGAAUGCCAACAAAAAUCAGCAUUACUUGGAACUGCAAGAAUUCUUCGAAGGGUUCUUGAAGCAUGACCAGUAAAACAAGUGUCACCUUAGUCUGCUGGCUGUGGACAUCUGACACUUUCCAUCAUACCCAGCAAAGUAAGCUGUGAAUUUUAAUAAAUAAUAAUAAUAAUAAUAAUGAUACAAUGCCUGAAAUUUUUGUAGGAUUUGGGGCUAGUUAAUUACAUCAAUCCCAGUGCUCAACUGGUACAUAUUUUAUUGACCAUGAAGGCAUGAAAGGCAAAGCCAACAUCAAUGGAAUUUGAACUCAAAUAAUAUAGAUGUUUUCGACCUAGUUUGGAUUCUUUGCCAUCAAAUUUGAUGGCAAAAAAUCCAAACUAGGUUGGAAACAUCUAUAAUAAUAAUAAUAAAUGAUGAUGAUGAUGAUAAAGAUGUACCCACUCUUAUUGACCACACCCAAUGCCAUGCCAUCCCUAGCACCUCAAAAUUCAAGAAAUCUCAGAUAAUUGCUCAAAAAAAUGUUUACAUAUUUUUGUUUAUUUGUAGAUUUUGUGUUGUAGGUUUUUUUAAUAAAUAUUUGCUCAUUACAAGUGACCACACACAUAAUAUACUCACAUAUACAUACACACAGGUAGGUUACUCACAUUCACACACACUUGCAUAGAAAGGCUCACCACAUACUGUUUUGUGCAGAUGAGGUUAGCACACCUCCAUGCAAAUUCACUCAAACACACUCACACACAUUUACAUUGUGAAUGACAAAUAAAUUUUGUGCUGUCUCAUCCAAUUCUUUCUUGGGUCAUAAAAAUUGUGGUCACAUGUUUCAGGCCCAGACAUUCAGUCAUCAAACAAAUUUUUUUUUUUUUCCUAUUCAAAUGAAAAUGAAUUUAAUACAAAAUAAGCCUUUUUUUUUUUCAAAUAACUGAAAUAUAUUUUACUGGAAAAACAAUGUUCUUUUACCAAAGAAAACAAAGAAAACAGAAAAUAUGGAUUACAGUAUAUUAAUCAAGUAAUGGAACAUUUGAUGAUGUAAAGUGUGUUGGUGAAAAAGCAUGGCAAUGGAAAUUUUGGAGACAAAAUGUCUGGCUGUGAAAACUCUAUAAAUGGAAAAGUUUGUCAGUGAAAAGUACCAGCAACACUAAAGUUGGCAAUGGAAAAUCUAUCAAAGAAAAAUUUGGCAACAAAAACUGUUGAUGAAAAGUCCAUCAUUGUUAUACAUCAAGGUUGAAACUUAAUUACUAAACACCCACUUUAAUAAAAACUUGUCAUAUACUCAGUAAAUAAUAUGAGGACAAAAAGUUACUGCACGUUCAGUAGAAUCACGAUUUUAAGUUAUAUAUAUAUAUAUAUAUAUAUAUAUAUAUAUAUAAACUGCAUAUCCAAAAAAGGUUAAACGAGUACAAGAUUGACUAUGUAUAUCAUGUCAAAAAUCGAUCAUCUGUUCAAUCACAAUUGACUCUUCCAGUCAAACACUGACCACAUAUCCAGUCAAUAACUAACCAUACUCAAAAACUGAU